GACGAACGCUGGCGGCGUGCUUAACACAUGCAAGUCGAACGGAAAGGCCCUGCUUUUGUGGGGUGCUCGAGUGGCGAACGGGUGAGUAACACGUGAGUAACCUGCCCUUGACUUUGGGAUAACUUCAGGAAACUGGGGCUAAUACCGGAUAGGAGCUCCUGCUGCAUGGUGGGGUUUGGAAAGUUUCGGCGGUUGGGGAUGGACUCGCGGCUUAUCAGCUUGUUGGUGGGGUAGUGGCUUACCAAGGCUUUGACGGGUAGCCGGCCUGAGAGGGUGACCGGCCACAUGGGGACUGAGAUACGGCCCAGACUCCUACGGGAGGCAGCAGUGGGGAAUAUUGCACAAUGGGCGGAAGCCUGAUGCAGCAACGCCGCGUGCGGGAUGACGGCCUUCGGGUUGUAAACCGCUUUCGCCUGUGACGAAGCGUGAGUGACGGUAAUGGGUAAAGAAGCACCGGCUAACUACGUG
rnacentral:rRNA from 1 species